GAGAGGAGGUGGUGUUCCAGCUGUUCCUGCUCUUGCUUCUGGUGGAGGUGCCGUCUGCCGCCUCUUCUGCGCAGCAUACGGCGAGCCCCGGGUCGCCCACCCCCACUGUGCAUACCACGUGCCUGUUUGCGUCCAGCUUCUAGCCCCUUUGUGAGCGGGUGAACCUACACACCCGCACCCGGCGCCCCCUCCGCCCAUGCCCCCCUGCAGGCCUGCCACGGCUCGUCCCCUUGUGUUCUGGUUCCGCAGCAGGGCCUUGGACGCCUGGAACCUCAGCCAAGCAGAGCCCCCCCACGCAGAGGGGAAGCGCCCCUCCCAGACCUGCUGGCCGAGAGCCCUGGACACGUGCCCUGCCUGAGCGCCACGCUGAGCAGAAGGCAGCGGCCAGCCCCUCCUCAAGACCCCCAUGGACCCCAGAUCCAAGAUCUCUACCUUGGACUUCCUGCUGCACAAAGGAGAGUCGCUGACUCACAGAGUUCCUGUGACCCCUGCCAACCGCCAUGCAACCUCUCAAUGGGCUCUCAGUCCAGGCAGGACCACCAGCCUCUGCAGGACCACCAGUCCAGGCAGGGCCACCAGCUGGUGUCCUUGAUGCACAAAAGUUUUAAAUUUUGAUGAAGUACAAUCUUUGCAUUUUUAACUUUUGUUCCUUGUGCUUUUGGUGUCCAAGAAUCCAUUACCAAGUUGAGCCCUACAUUUCUUAACAGCAAGUGUGCCCUCGUCUCAAUGUCCCCACCUCUCAAGGGUCUGAUGCUGCACCUCCAUGUCCACAUGCCCAGCCAUGUGGUGGCAUCCACACUGACACCCAGGGAUUGUGCUGCAUUCUUUCCACCCGGUUCCGCUCACAGGACUGCAGUGCGCUCCGCCCUCUGCAGGCCCGCGGCAGCCCUGCCAGCUGUGGGUGCACUGCCCCAGGACAGCUCCAGGCUGGGGGAGGGGCCUUGAAGGACCCCAAGGUCUGUGCUGCCUCUGCUCUGCCCCCUUUGGACCUGCAGGCGCAAGUCACGUUGGAUGCUGUGUCUCCCUCCCAUCAGGAAAAGGGCUUUAUGGACGGAAGUCAGCUGUGAGCAAAGGCGUGCUCACUCCUCCUCAGAGCAGGGGCCGUGGGAGACUCCCUCUGUCAAUUCAGCUCUUUCUGCUUUGUUUUCACGAUGUUUUCUACAAAAGAAUUUAAAAUGAUUAUUAGUGCUCUCCAGGGAUUUUCUCCAUAAAAUUCUGCCUGUGAGCUUAAGGGAAUAAAACAAACCUAUCGGAGUGCAUUGGCGAUGUAGCGUGAAAAUACCGUCAGCAUCCAAGGAGCCGCAGUGAGAAAUGUGGAAAAUCUAAAAAGAAUAAAUAUCCUUAGAAAUCAACAAGAUGACUGAUUGCAGAUGAGAGUAAACCUAGCCUUAUUGUAUUAAAAGUUGUUGGGAGGUCCCACUGUGGCUCGGGGUUAAAGACCCAACAUUGUCUCUGUGAGGACACAGGUUCAAUUCCUGGCCUCAAUCAGUGGAAUAAGCAUCCGGCAUUGCUGUGGCUGUGGUGUAGGCAGCAGCUGCAGCUCCGAUUCAACCCCAGCCUGGGAACCUCCAUGUGCCACAGGUGUGGCUCUGAAAGACCAACAAACAAAAGUCAUUAAAACCUAACGCCCUGAAAGAAGCAAGCAGAAUAUUAUUCUUCUAAACUCGUGGGACGGGGCCCGGCGAUGGCAUCACAGCCGAUCAGAGGAAAGUGGGUCUGAGCCUCUGUAUGUCCUUGGAAGCCACGUGGCCUUGGGGGGGUGGGCCUCUGGGCCACUGCCUGGCCUGUCUUAGGGAGUCGCUGGACUUGCCACAACACCACAGUUGUCUUGGCUGCUGCACCACCUCGUCUGAGAGCUAAGGUCAUGGGGAUGAAGCAGAUUCUAGGAAGUUACGUCUUUUCCCGGAGAGAAGGGACCACAGCUGCUGUGACUUCCGCGGAGGCUGGGGGAGGGGCGGCGCAGGUGGGACUUCGGUGAGCACAGAAUGCUGCAGGUGGCCUGGUGACCGUGCCCGCGAGGAGAUGGGCGGGCCAGGUCCCCGGCCAGAGAGACCCGGAAACCCUCCCGGACACAGGCUUUUGCCAAGUGCAGGCACAGGUCCCGAAGCUGGGGACGGCGGAGGGGGUGAUGGACAGCCUGCGAAUGGGUGAGCUGGCGCCAGGCGGAAGAAAGCCUGCAGGUCCUUCUGUGAAUGCGUGUUCUCCCAGCCAAAUAUUGACAGCUUGUGGUUGCAACAGAACCAGACCCAGCUCGGCUGCGGAUUGGCUGGCUCACCCACCACAGAGCAGCAUGACCCAGGAAGGAGCCUGCCCUUUCUUAUCAUCAGAUACACGAAACCUAAAAGGUGCCGUCUGGACCUUUUUCAGUGGCAAGUGCUAUUAAAUAGAGUCAUGGUGUUAUGAGCCUCCUGUCACCAGCAACCAUCUCCAGAGAGCCUUCACCUGGUCAGUCUGGGACUCUGUCCCCAUUAAACAGUGACCGCCCCUCCCCCAGCCCCUGGCACCCACCACUCUGCUCUCUAUCCCUACGCUAGGGGCCUCGAGUAAGUGGAAUCCUGCAGGAUUCGUCCUUCUGUGACUGGCUCAUCUCCCUGAGCCGAAUGCCCUCCAGGUUCAUCCGUGCUGUGUCCUGGGUCAGAAUCGCCUUCCUGCUCAGCCUUAGCAAUAUUCCGCUGUAUGGAUGGACCACAGCUUCCUUCUCCGUUCAUUUGCCAGUGGACACUUGCGUUGCUUCCGUGCUUUGUCUGCUGUGAGCAUAGGUGGGCAAGUACCGUUCUGAGACCCCGUUUUCCAUCUUCUUAUAGGAGAAUAUACCCAGAAGUGGAAUUGCAGGGUUAUCUAGUAGUUCAACGUGUAGAUUUUUGAGGCGCCUCCAUCCUGUUCUCCACAGUGGCUGCACCAUUGACCUUCCCCCCAGCAGUGCACACGGGUCCAAUGUCCCCACGUGCCUGGUGGCAACUGCCCACUUUCUGGGCUGGGGGAGAGUAGUCAUCCGAGUGGGUGUGAGCAGCGUCUUCACUGUGACUCUGGCUGUUCUUCUGUCUUUCUCAGGGAAACGUCUACUCAAGUGCUUCCCAUUUUUGAAUUAGGCUAUUUGGUUUUGUGGUGGAGGAGUCCUCUGCGUGUUCUGGGUAUUGAUCCCUUACCAGAUACAGGAUAUGCAACUCCUUCCCUGGUGCGCUGCUUCUUAUCCUGUCAAUAGUGUGUUUGUGUGUGUGUGUGUGUGUUCUUUUUAAAAGAUUUUUAUUUUUUCGGUUAUAGCUGGUUUACAGGGUUCUUUCAAUUGUCUACUAUACAGCAAAGUGACCCAGUCACAUACACACGUAGUCAUUCUUUUUCUCACAUUAUCCUCCCUCGCGCUCCAUCGCAAGUGACUGGGUAGAGUGCCAGGGCUCCACAGCAGGAUGUCGUUGCUUGUCCCUUCCAAAGGCAACAGUUGGCAUCCAUUAACCCCAGGUUCCCAGUCCAUCCAACUCCUCCCUCUCUGCCCUGGCAACCCCAAGUCUGUUCUCUAAGUCCAUGAUUUUCUUUUCUGUGGAAACAUUUAUUGAUGCCACAUAUUAUAUUCCAGAUAUAAGUGAUACCAUAUGGUAUUUGUCUUUCUCUUUCUGACUUACUUCACUUAGUGUGGGAGUCUCUGGUUCCAUCCAUGUUGUUGCAAAUGGCAUUCUUUUGUUCUUUUCUUACGGCCGAGUAGUAUUCCAUCGUGUAUAUACACCACAUUUUAAUCCAUUCAUCUGUCGAUGGACAUUUGGGUUGUUUCCAUUGUUUCCGUGUCUUGGCUAUUGCGAGCUGCAGUGAACAUGCAGGUGCAUGUGUCUUUCUCAAGGAAAGUUUUGUCUGGAUAUAAAGAGUGGGAUGGCUGGGACACAUAGUAGGUCCAUUUUUAGUUUUCUGAGGAACCUCCAUACUGUUUUCCAUAGUGCUUGUACCAGCUUACAUUCCCACCAGCAGUGUCAGAGGGGUUCCUUUUCUCCACACCCUCUCCAGCAUGUGUUAUAUCUGGACUUAUUAAUGAUGGCCAUUCUGACCGCUGUGACGUGGUACCUCAUGGUAGUUUUGAUUCAUAGUGUCUUUUGGUGCACAUUUAAAAAAUGUCAUGAAGUCCAAUUUGCCUCAUGUUUCUUUGGCUCCCUGCGCCUUUGGCCUCAUGUCGUGAUGAAUACGGUCGAGAUUCAGCAGGUGGGAAACGUCAGCCAAGGGGUGACGGCUAUGAAGAAGGGCCAAGUGGAAAUUCUAGAAAUAAAAAAUAUGUCUGAAACGAAUUAAUUGGACGAGCAUAACACCAGAAGAAAGAAUCUGUGACGUUGAAACAGGAAAAUAUAAAUGACCCAAAACCGAAACACAGUGAGGAAAAAUGCAGUGAGUUUGGGAAAAGACACCUGGGAUUUGUGGGACGAGGUCAAUGGGUCCAUUGAGUGUGUGACUCUCAGAAGCCGAGCAAAGAGGGAAUAAAAUAAUACCUGAAGGGAUGCGUGGUCAAGGAUGUCCCCAGGCUGAUGAAAAACUCCCACCCACAAUCCUUGGAGGCUCCCUGAAUCCCAAGUAAGACGGAUACAAAGAUAACCUCGCCGUGGACAGCAGAGCAAACCCGCUGACAAGCCAAACAGAAAAAUCAAAGCACAAGAGCGGCUACAGAAAUUGGGAUCAAGAGAAAGAAUUCUCAGACACACUAGAGACCAGAUGGCAAAACCCAGCCUCUUCAGAGUGAGGAAAGAAAGAACGCGUCCACCGGGAAUCUUACGUCCGGCACAAACACCCUUCAAUAAGGAGCUGAAGAAAGACGCAUUCAGCCAAGAGUCAACCCGCAAGAAAUGCCAUGAGGAGCUCUUCAGAAAGAGGCGCUCAGGGGGGCGGCCGAGGUGUGGGUGUCAGGCUGACACCGUUCCAGGCGAAUGGAGAGACCCAACCCAACAGCUUGAAACAAAGGUGAGAAGAACCGUGUCCUGUUGGGUUUAGAGCAUAAUAGAAGCAAAAAAAAAAAGAAAAAAGGAAAAGGAAAAAAGAAAGAUGACAGGAGCACAAGGAGCAGGCAGAGGUUCAAGGCAACUUCCUCCGUAAAGUCUUAUAGUGACAAAGCGUGAGAAGGGACCGAAGCGCUGAAGGUGUGCGUGCUGAACCCCAAACCCCACCACCCCGCUCCAGCCCCUUCCCUGGGUCCUAUUUCAUCUUGGGAAGUUUGAGCUCUCAGUGGGGAAGUCACACGGCUGAUGUGGUGGCUUUUGUUCAUUUGUUUGUUUUUGGCUUUUUAGGGCCACACCUGUGGCAUGUGGAGGUCCGCAGGCUAGGGGUGGAAUUGGAUGUGUAGCUGCCAGCCUACACCACAGCCUCAGCAACACGGGAUCUGAGCCGCGUCUGCAACCUAUACCACAGCUCAUGGCAACACCUGAUCCUUAACCCACUGAGCGAGGCUGGGAUUGAACCUGUGUCCUCAUGGACACUAGUCAGAUUCGUUUCUGCUGAGCCACAAUGGGAACUCUCAAUAAUUUUUUAAAAAUUUUUAUGGGUGCACCUGCAGCGUAUGAAAGUUCCCAGGCUAGGGGUCGAAUCCCAGCUGCAGCUGCCAGCCUAGCUGAUCCGAACUGUAUCUGUGGUGACCUCUGCCACAGCCACGACAACGCUGGAUCCCUAAACUACCGAGAGACGCUGGGGAUAGAACCCACAUCCUCACAGAGGAUGUUCUUAACCCACUGCACCAGGACAGGAACUGCCCCAGAGCAUGUGUUUUUGUUAAAGAAUAGUUUUGUGGAGUUCCUGUUGUGGCUCAGUGGUAACGAACCCGGCGGGCAACCAUGGGGACGUGGGUUCCAUCCCUGGCCUCAAUCAGUAGGUCAAGGAUCCAGUGUUGCCAUGAGCUGUGGUGUAGGUUGAAGACAUGGCUCGGAUCUGGCUUUGCUGUGGCUGUGCUGUAAGCUGGCAGCUGCAGCUCCAAUUCGACCCCUAGCCUGGGAACCUCCAUAUGC
rnacentral:lncRNA from 1 species